GCUUCCUUAGCUCAGCUGGUUAGAGCAUCUGACUCUUAAUCAGAGGGCCCGGGGUUCGAGUCCCCGAGGGAGCACCA
rnacentral:tRNA from 1 species